rnacentral:siRNA from 1 species
UGCUUCAGAAGAUGAUGAUGG